CACCAAUCAAGCCACGCUUGGUAUUGGGCGCGUGGCCUUCUCCUGGAGGAGGCCCGCCCGAAAUGCAUCGGCGAGGAAACCGACCCCCGGCGUGUUAGAUUUCUGAACGUCAGGAGCACCGGUGCCCCCAGCCGUACAAUCUUUUUAUUUUCAAA
rnacentral:misc_RNA from 1 species